ACUGCCAUAGUGCCAUACUCUUAGUCUGGUACUCUUUCCUUAUUUGUCCUGCUAAUAAACAAUUGUGUAAUAUGAUUGUGAAAAAUCCAAAGUAGUAAGUUCUGCACUAAAAUGAUUUGCAUAAGUUGAAUUGUCGGUCUCUUUUCUUUGAACUAUAUCCCAGCUAUUCUUAGCAAACAAAAACAAUGGCAGCUCAAGCUCUUCUUUCUUCCCCAAACUUCAACUGUAAAGGUGACGGACAUGGUCUUAGGUUUACCUCAUCGAAAGCCAGGCCAUUGCACUUUCUGAAGGUUCCCUGUGGUUAUAAAGUAAGAGCGCGAGCUACUGCAAAUGCUAAAUCUAGAGGAAUUGAAAUCCCAAAACAUUGGUACAAUAUAAUUGCUGAUCUUUCAGUUAAACCACCUCCGCCCUUAAAUCCUCGGACUUUUGAGCCAGUCAAACCUGAAGAUUUAGCACCUCUCUUUCCAGAAGAGUUGAUCAAGCAAGAAGUGAGCAAUGAAAAAUUCAUUAAGAUACCUGAGGAGGUCCUUGAUGUAUAUAGUUUAUGGAGACCAACUCCUUUAAUCAGAGCUAAGAGAUUGGAGAAGCUCCUUGGAACUCCAGCAAGGAUUUAUUACAAGUAUGAGGGCGUUAGCCCUGCAGGAUCACAUAAACCUAACAGUUCAGUACCACAAGCUUGGUACAAUGCACAGGAAAGUGUCAAAAAGAUUGUGACCGAGACUGGAGCUGGCCAAUGGGGAAGUGCCCUUGCCUUUGCUUGCAGCAUUUUUGACCUAGAUUGCGAAGUGUGGCAAGUUCGUGCCUCGUAUGACCAGAAACCUUACAGGAAAUUGAUGAUGCAGACUUGGGGUGCCAAGGUUCACCCGUCACCAUCUGAAUUAACUGAGGCAGGUCGGAAAAUCCUCCAAACAGAUCCACUGAGCCCCGGUAGUCUAGGAAUAGCAAUAUCAGAAGCUGUAGAGAUUGCUGCAAAAAAUUCCGAUACAAAAUACUGUCUAGGAAGUGUGCUCAACCAUGUCCUGCUACAUCAGACUGUCAUAGGUGAGGAAUGCAUUAAACAGAUGGAAGCGUUUGGUGAGACCCCGGACGUGAUUAUAGGGUGCACUGGUGGAGGAUCCAACUUUGGAGGACUAUGUUUCCCUUUCAUCCGGGAAAAGCUGAGUGGUAAAAUGAAUCCUCUCAUUAGAGCUGUUGAGCCUGCUGCUUGCCCUUCCUUGACCAAAGGAGUGUAUGCUUAUGAUUAUGGUGAUACGGCUGGGAUGACUCCGUUGCUGAAGAUGCACACUCUUGGUCAUGAUUUCAUUCCAGACCCUAUCCAUGCUGGUGGUCUGCGUUACCAUGGUAUGGCACCUUUGAUUUCACAUGCAUAUGAACUGGGUUUGAUGGAAGCAGUUGCUAUUCCGCAAACUGAGUGUUUCGAAGGAGCCAUUCAAUUUGCAAGAUCUGAAGGACUGAUCCCUGCGCCAGAACCAACCCACGCUUUAGCUGCUGUCAUCAGAGAAGCUCUCCAAUGUAAAGAGACGGGAGAAUCGAAAGUGAUUCUGAUGGCAAUGUGUGGACAUGGCCACUUUGACUUGCCAGCAUAUGACAAUUUUUUGCAAGGAAAUUUGGUCGAUUUGUCCUUUUCCAAGGACAAGAUACAGGAAUCACUUGCCAAAGUCCCCCAAAUUGUGCCUUGAAGAGUUGAAUUGUAAAAGGAUCAAGUAAUGGGAUUAGCCGACUGGUCCCAUGUCAGGCAGUGUUUGAUCCGCAAGAAUAUUUGCUCUUCUAACAGCCCCAAGAAUAGUUUCAUCCUUUCAAACAACCUUAAGGAAGGUUGCUGUCGCCCACCUCCUGUAUGUCAUGAUAAUUUUUUGACGACACACGACUGCGGUGCUUGGAAAAACCAAACGGACACAAUGUGCUACUACUGCAGCAGUUGCGCAGGAGGGUUUGUUAGCCAACUUACAGUGGUGUGGAGAAGGCUGCUACCUGGGAUUGCUGUACUGCUUAUCAUCCUCCUCGUCGUUUUCGUUAUUGGUUGCAGGGUUUUCAGACUAAAUAAAGUUGAUCAUUAUAAGAGACUCUACAAAACUUAGAUAUUUCUAGACUUGUAAUACCCUUAUGGUUUUAGAUACCGGGAAACAAUUGUGUAUUAAUUCAUAUCAGAUGUAGAUUAUGAGAUGAUCAACCAUUGAAUUGAUGCAUGAAUAAAUGAUUAGCA